rnacentral:rRNA from 1 species
UACGAGGGGGGCAAGCGUUGUUCGGAAUUAUUGGGCGUAAAGGGUGCGUAGGCGGUUUGAUAAGUCACAUGUGAAAUCUUCGGGCUCAACCCGAAGUCUGCAUGCGAAACUGUCGGGCUUGAGUAUGGGAGAGGUGAGUGGAAUUUCCGGUGUAGCGGUGAAAUGCGUAGAGAUCGGAAAGAACACCAACGGCGAAAGCACUCUGCUGGGCCGACACUGACACUGAGAGACGAAAGCUAGGGGAGCGAAUGGG